ACCCGCUGAACUUAAGCAUAUCAAUAAGCGGAGGAAAAGAAACCAACAGGGAUUGCCCUAGUAACGGCGAGUGAAGCGGCAACAGCUCAAAUUUGAAAUCUGGCUCUUUUAGAGUCCGAGUUGUAAUUUGCAGAGGGCGCUUUGGCUUCGGCAGCGGUCCAAGUUCCUUGGAACAGGACGUCACAGAGGGUGAGAAUCCCGUACGUGGUCGCUGGCUAUUGCCGUGUAAAGCCCCUUCGACGAGUCGAGUUGUUUGGGAAUGCAGCUCUAAAUGGGAGGUACAUUUCUUCUAAAGCUAAAUAUUGGCCAGAGACCGAUAGCGCACAAGUAGAGUGAUCGAAAGAUGAAAAGCACUUUGGAAAGAGAAUCAAACAGCACGUGAAAUUGUUGAAAGGGAAGCGCUUGCAGCCAGACUUGCUUACAGUUGCUCAUCCGGGCUUUUGCCCGGUGCACUCUUCUGUAGGCAGGCCAGCAUCAGUUUGGGCGGUAGGAUAAAGGUCUCUGUCACGUACCUCUCUUCGGGGAGGCCUUAUAGGGGAGACGACAUACUACCAGCCUGGACUGAGGUCCGCGCAUCUGCUAGGAUGCUGGCGUAAUGGCUGU
rnacentral:rRNA from 1 species